rnacentral:rRNA from 1 species
AUAUCAAUGAUAACAGUUUGUGUGCUCCACAUACAACUAAAUUAAAAGAGAUAGGUAUGAAACCCAUUUGAGCGAGAAUAGUACUAGGAUGGGUGACCUCCUAGGAAGUCCUCGU